rnacentral:rRNA from 1 species
AUGAUGCCCGUGUCGAUGAUUUGCUCCUCCGUUAGCCAGUGCUCGGUGAUUUGUACAUCUGGUCGGCCUGUGCCUGCCAGAAACGCCUCCUCCCGGUCUUCCAUCACCACAUCGGUGAAGUGCACCCGCGCCUCACUGAUGGUGAUGCCGGCUUGGACAGACGAGGACCUUGGCACUGGUUCUUCAUCCACUAGCUCGUCUGUGUCGUUCCCUUCUGGGAGCUCGUUGGCAAGCCCACCGAGGCCAUCCCACAGGACUUCGGAGCUUGAGGCCAUGGCGGCGUGUGGUGCAGGGAGGACGAGAUCGGGAUCAAGAGCGGAGGUUGCUGUGUUUGCUGCCUGGAUAGAUUUAAAUGGCGAGGGAAUGUUAGGUGCCAAGCGGCAUGGAAAAAAGGAUGUCCAGACCGGACCGCAGGUGGAUGCGGGACUGUGUUCAAUGGCAAAACACGUCCGGACCGCGCGGUUCAGACGAAUGGCGGUUUGGGGGUCCUCUUGGGAGAGCGAAGGCAUCGAGAUUAUGCUCCACGCCAUUGGCCACCAGGACGGCAGACAGAGGGGAGGCGAAUCCACGAACAAGCCGAGUAGAGCCCCCAGAUCUGCCUUGUUCCGUGGUAGCCUGCAUUGGCACUCAUCAGGCAGCAUGGUAAUGGUAUUCGACACCACAUCUGAGUCGUUCCGGCGGAUGCGUUCACCAGUUUUCCCUGGUCAUGCUGACCUGUAUGAUAUUGGUGACAUGCUUGGGCUAUGCAGUCAUGACAAUGAGUGGACAAGUGUUAGUAUCUGGGCACAAGGCGAGAUCUGGACCUUAAAAUACCGUGUUAAAUUACCGGUUGCAGAAAUCGGGGUCCAUGAUAAGCUCGACAGUGAUUGGGAUGUGGUGGUCGGUUUUUGGGAUGGUGAUGUGGUCCUGCUGGUUACCGUUGAUGGCGGCAACAUGCUAUUUCAGGUUGACAUCAAUGGCAAGUUGGUUGCGACUAUCUGCUGUUGCAGAGACCUCUACUCAGCUCAUCUUUGGCUCAAACAAACUCUAGUUUUGCAUACCUUCUUUCCGACACUUGAGGGGUAUGCAGUGAAUGCUUUGCCAUUUAUCUGA